rnacentral:rRNA from 1 species
GAGAUAGCUCGUACUCCCCGAAAUGCAUUUAGGUGCAGCCUGCGUGAUUACCGGCAUGAGGUAGAGCGACUGAUAAGAUGCGAGGGCUUCGCCGCCUAUCAAGUCUUGACAAACUCCGAAUGCUUGCCGGUUUGACACGUGGAGUGAGGGGCCGGGUGCUAAGGUCCGGUCCCGAGAGGAGAAGAAUCCUGACCAUCGUCUAAGGUCCCGAAAUGACGGCUGAGUUAGUCAAACGAAGUAGGAUUGCCGUGACAGCUAGGAUGUUGGCUUGGAAGCAGCCAUUCAUUUAAAGAGUGCGUAACAGCUCACUAGUCGAGGAAUCCUGCGUGGAUAAUAAUCGGGUAUAAGCCGUCUGCCGAAGACGUGGAAUCUCAUAAGAGAUUGGUAGGGGAGCAUUCCAUUCAGCGUUGAAGGCGCACCGCGAGGUGCUCUGGAGCGUAUGGAAAAGCAAAUGUAGGUAUAAGUAACGAUAAAGGGGGUGGGAUGCCCCCUCGCCGUAAGACUAAGGUUUCCUGAUCAACGCUAAUCGGAUCAGGGUAAGUCGGGUCCUAAGGCACAGCCGAACGGCGCAGCCGAUGGAAGAAACGGUUAAGAUUCCGUUACUGCCGCACGGAGUGACGCGGGGACGGAGGAGUGACAGUGCCGCCGCCUGACGGAAUAGGCGGUUGAAGGGUGUAGGCGUCGAUUGCCGCAGGCAAAUCCACGGCAAGAGCCGAACCUGAUAGUAUGGGGCGUUCCCCGGAACAACCCAAUAGUGCACGUAAACAGACUCCCGAGAAAAUCCGCUAAACAUAAUCCGUGUGGCACCCGUACCGCAAACGGACACACGUAGUCGGGUAGAGCAUACCAAGGCGCUUGAGUGAAUCACGGUUAAGGAACUAGGCAAACUGACCCUGUAACUUCGGGAUAAAGGGUCCUCACAGUAAUGUGAGGCGCAGAGAAUCGGUCCAGGCAACUGUUUACCAAAAACACAGGGCUGUGCGAAUUCGCAAGAAGCAGUAUACAGCCUGACACCUGCCCGGUGCCGGAAGGUUAAGAGGAGAUGUCACCGCAAGGGAAGCAUUGAAUUGAAGCCCCGGUAAACGGCGGCCGUAACUAUAACGGUCCUAAGGUAGCGAAAUUCCUUGUCGGGUAAGUUCCGACCUGCACGAAUGGUGUAAUGAUCUGGACGCUGUCUCAACCGUGAGCUCAGUGAAAUUGUAGUAUCGGUGAAGAUGCCGAUUACCCGCGAUGGGACGAAAAGACCCCGUGAACCUUUACUAUAGCUUAGCAUUGGGGCCGGGCACGUGAUGUGUAGGAUAGGUCGGAGGCAAUGAAGUGGUGACGCCAGUCAUCGUGGAGCCGCUGUUGAAAUACGACCCUUCAUUUGUCUGGUCCCUAACGCGCUGUGCGCGGACAUUGCUUGGUGGGUAGUUUGACUGGGGUGGUCGCCUC